GAUGAAGAACGCAGCGAAAUGCGAUAAGUAAUGUGAAUUGCAGAAUUCAGUGAAUCAUCGAAUCUUUGAACGCACAUUGCGCCCGCUAGUAUUCUGGCGGGCAUGCCUGUUCGAGCGUCAUUUCAACCAUCAAGCCCUGUUUAGGCUUGUGUUGGGGCCCUGCGGCUGCCGCAGCCCCCUAAAUGCAGUGGCGGGCUCGUUGUCACUCCGAGCGCAGUAGCGUAUCUCGCUCUGGGCGUGGCGGCGGGUGCUAGCCGUGAAACACCCACUAAGGUUGACCUCGGAUCAGGUAGGAAUACCCACUGAACUUAAGCAUAUCAAUAAGCGGAGGA
rnacentral:misc_RNA from 1 species